AGCCCAUGGUCCCUCUAAUAAGCAAUAUGCCAGCAAGAGUUGACAAAGAUUUUAAUUUCCAAAGUCUUUGAUCUAAGAGUAUGACAUUCCCCUCCUCGGAUCCCGUUUUGAUCAGGCAAUAAAUGCAAAGUAAGUAUGCUUGAGAAUUUUUGCAAAUUAAAACAACCUCAGUGAGAUAUAUAUAAAAGAUAAUGAGUGAUCUGAGAGAACCUAUGAGGAUAAAAAGGUAUGCUAACUUUCUUUCAAAAAUAUACAAAAACUCCAAGUGACAGGAUUGAGAAGAAAGGAUCUUUACUCUUAACCAUAUACUUCC
rnacentral:lncRNA from 1 species